UACAUGCAAGUCGUGGGGCAGCAUGAGUAGCAAUACUUGAUGGCGACCGGCAAACGGGUGAGGAACACGUACACAACCUUCCUUCAAGCGGGGAAUAGCCCAGAGAAAUUUGGAUUAAUACCCCAUAAUAUAUUUGAUAAGGCAUCUUAUUAAUAUUAAAGCUUCGGCACUUGAUGAUGGGUGUGCGGCUGAUUAGAUAGUUGGCGGGUAACGGCCCACCAAGUCUACGAUCAGUAGCUGAUGUGAGAGCCAUGAUCAGCCACACGGGCACUGAGACACGGGCCCGACUCCUACGGGAGGCAGCAGUAAGGAAUAUUGGACAAUGGACGAAAGUCUGAUCCAGCCAUGCCGCGUGAAGGAUUAAGGUCCUCUGGAUUGUAAACUUCUUUUAUAUGGGACGAAAAAAGGGCAUUCUUGUUCACUUGACGGUACCAUAUGAAUAAGCACCGGCUAACUCCGUG
rnacentral:rRNA from 1 species